CAGGCCUAACACAUGCAAGUCGAGCGGAAACGAAGAGGAGCUUGCUCCUUUGGCGUCGAGCGGCGGACGGGUGAGUAAUGCUUGGGAAUAUGCCUUUUGGUGGGGGACAACAGUUGGAAACGACUGCUAAUACCGCAUAAUGUUUACGGACCAAAGCGGGGGACCUUCGGGCCUCGUGCCAAAAGAUUAGCCCAAGUGAGAUUAGCUAGUUGGUAAGGUAAUGGCUUACCAAGGCGACGAUCUCUAGCUGGUUUGAGAGGAUGAUCAGCCACACUGGGACUGAGACACGGCCCAGACUCCUACGGGAGGCAGCAGUGGGGAAUAUUGCACAAUGGGGGAAACCCUGAUGCAGCCAUGCCGCGUGUGUGAAGAAGGCCUUCGGCUUGUAAAG
rnacentral:rRNA from 1 species